CACACUCACACACACACGCUGACGUCAGGACAGGUGCCUCUCCCCGGCAGGUGGCCGCGGCGCAGGGGGCGGGCGCGGCGCAGAGGGGGGGAGACGCGCCCUGCGAUCUGACCGACCCGCCGGACGGACCCCGGGCCCCGCCUGGUGGGGCUGGAGAGACACACCACCACAGACCGACGGGACGGCGCGGGGGGGGGAGGACUCUUGUUUUCUCGGAGCAGAAGAGACUGAAAUUUCCAAACCAGCAGAGGGGGGUCGGACCAGGGGCGGGGGGGGCAUUUCUGCAUUUUUACAGAGUUGUUAUCGUCACGGUUGUUUUCUACUCAAGUCCCAAUUUUUGGAGCGUCAGUGACAUCACACCCUCCCUGGGACGGGGGCUGAUGACAUUGCAUGGAAUGGAGGGGGGGAGGGGAGGGGGUUGCCUUGGAGACGUUGCUGCCUUGGAGACGGAAGCUGUUACCAUGAGAAGUAUUUUGGGGAUGGGGAUGGGGGUCGGGGGGGAGUGGGGUAUAUUUUUUUUCCGUUCGUUUGCAGUAUUGACCAGCAGUUCCUGAUGGACAGAGGAUACAGACUGACGGACGUCCACGACCUUAAAGACUCGAGCAACACACACGCAAAACAACAACGAAACAAAAACAAAACUGGACUUCAAAAAAAAAGAAAAUAUUUCAGAACAUUUUAAAAAACGCAAACGCAUUUAAUCAAUUUUGAAAGUGGAGGUGCUGCCGGGAGGAGGCUGUUAUUGUAAUUUGUCUCUGUGGAGGGUCCGGGCUGGAGGUGCAGUUUAUUUACUGGGGAGGGGGGUUUGUUAAAAAAAUAAAAAGGAUUCAAUUUCCAAGUCAAGCACAGCGGCUCGUGGACUCCCUGCCUCUCGGACCCAGGCUCGGCCUCUGCUGCCUGCGGGCCUCUGAGCCUCGGCGCUGUGCUGUGUGUCUGUGCCAGUCCCACACGCUUCCUCUCCCUCUGUCUACACGCCUCACUCCUCACUCUCUCAGUGAGUCUGUGUCCCCCUGUCUCACUCCUCCUCACUCUCCCAGUGUGAGUCUCUGUCCCACUGUCUCACUCCUCCUCCCUCUCCCAGUGUGAGUCUGUUUCCUGACUGUUUCACUCCUCUCAGCCUGUUCCACACUCCCACCCCUCUCUGUGUACAGUAGAGCCUCCUGUCCUGACUGCAGGAGCUCAUCCAGCUGUGUCUGGAGAGAAGCCAUCGUAUACGCUUCAACAAGCUGGCUGGGCAGCUUGUUCCCUCCUCCCACCCCUCUCUGUGUACAGAAGAGCCCCCUGUUCUGACAGGGGGCUGCUGCUGCAGUUUACAACGGUAAGAACGUGAAUGUCGACGCUGAAUACGCGCCGUGCGUCGCUGCCAUAGUGACGGCUGAGCGCGUCGCGUCCUAAUUUUUAAACGGUAGAGGAGGGCUCGAGCCGCCGCCGCCGCUGUCGUGUCGUCACAUCCGGCCGCGCUCGCGCCCCCCACGCGCCGGGCGUUUGAAUCGCGCUCGCGCAAGGCGGCCGUUAACCCGUCUCGGCCGCUCGGAGCCCGGGACAGCCGGCAGAGGCACCGGGCGGACCGGGCGGACCGGGCGGGGCGCCGCUCUCGGCUGAGAUAGGAACACAGGAGCCCUGCCGCUGAGGGAGGGAGGGAGGAGCGGCGGCGGCGACGCGGAGGUGUUUCUCAGGGCCGGAGUCCGGUCCCACACGGGCGGGGGUGGAGAACCGGGUAAGCGUCUGGCCCGGUUCGGGAGCGCCUCCGCGGCCGCAGCAGGAGCCCGGGAGCAGGACGGGGGGCUGCAGGUCCAUCAGGUACCCGCAGAUCGGCAGCCACCGCGAGGGCGUCGCUCUGGGCUCGU